CCCUUAGACGUUCUGGGCCGCACGCGCGCUACACUGACCAGUGCAACAAGCAUCCGUCCUUGGCCGACAGGCUCGGGCAAUCUUUGAACGCUGGUCGUGAUGGGGAUAGACUUUUGCAAUUUUUGGUCUUCAACGAGGAAUUCCUAGUAAACGCAAGUCAUCAACUUGCAUUGAUUACGUCCCUGCCCUUUGUACACACCGCCCGUCGCACCUAACGAUUGAAUGGUCCGGUGAAGCCUCCGGAUUGGCGCGCACCUCGGUGCCGCCGAGAAGUUGGCUAAACCUUACCAUUUAGAGGAAGGUGAAGUCGUAACA
rnacentral:rRNA from 1 species